CGCGUCGUACAAGAAAAACAUGGCGAAUGUGGGUUUUGUAAAGAGAAGAAAAUAGCUAUUUUGACGGCGAGGAACAAUGUCUGGAGAUGAUUAUGAUUGACCUAUGUACUCUGUGCCCUCAGUCUUAUUGACAACUGUGUUUGCUGGAGACUCCACUACAGUGAACAACAAUCAAGAUGCACAUGGGAAAUGUUACAGAUAAGCCAAAACACAGGGCUUCACACUUGAGACCAACAUCUUAAGAUAUAUAUACAGGCAAGAAUAUCAAGUACAAGAAGAGUAAAAGAUUUAUCAAUGCAGGGUUCUACAAGUUCAACAUGAUGGAGCAUGAGUUGUUUAAAGAUUAUUAGUCCAUCUGUGGUUGGUAUUCAACUCUGAUAUACUAACACCUGUCUACAGUGAAUUACGUACCGCUGGUGUACUUCUAGAUUCAAUCAAUAUAGGAUACAGAUUAUCAAGCCAUCUGUGGUUGGUAUUCAACUCUGAUAUACUAACACCUGUCUACAGUGAAAUACUUACCUCUGGUGUACUUCUAGAUUCAAUCAAUACAGGAUAUAGUUAUGCUCUUCUUUGGUUGUCUUUCUCUUUUCCUGUCCAAAUUACACUGUGAUCACUUGAGUGCGAUGAAAAUGAACUUCUUUAGGGUUGGCCUCAAACUAUGUUUUUUUCUCUGUUGUGGCGUCAGGAUUUUCAUUCUUUGGGUGGUUGAUAAUCUACUUGUAUGAAAGUCUGAAUGGUGUCUUAUGCAAGUCUAUUGAGCACACCGCCCCUAAAGUUAUCACUGCUAUACACACCCAUGAAUAGUGAGGUAUGAUUAUCUCUGCUCUUACCCACACUAACCUGCACCGUGUACUGGCCUAUUACACCAUCAGCGUACUCCCAUGAAAUCUGCAGAGAGCCAUCACCUGGUAUCCUUACCUACAACCUUCACCGCCAGAGCAAUCAUCUGAUCAUAGCCUCAAGGUUAGACUCUGCCAAGAGCAGCAAUGUUGGACCGCCUUUUGUGGUUUCCUGGCCUGGUGGGGCAGCUUCUGUUUGGUGCUGGUAGGACCUCAUGGGAGAUGAUUCCUGUCUUGAGUACUGAUUGACUGGAUGUUGAUGGUGCUGCAUCAUCUUACAAGGCUUUGCAGCACAACAGCUUGGUAUAACUGAAUAUGACAGAUUUGGUGUAGCUAGAAAAAAAUGGAACGAAAUGGUCAAAAUUUUGUUGCCUGUUUCAGUAACAUACAUCAGAUACAUGCAUCAGGUUCAAAUGGCAAAGUUAUACAGUAUGUAACUUGGACGUGGGUGUAAAUAUGUGUAGUGCAGCAGCAAAAGUACUCUCCUCUCACCAAGCUAAACUUACUUGUCUGUCAUCUAUCUGCUGGCCAGGACUUGACAGCAUCAUCACCAUGACAACAUGAUCCUUGGCUGAGAGGCUGACAAGCUGUUGGAAAAAAAUCAGAGAUCUGAGUCUCUAGCAUGCCAAUUGCAAGACAAUGGUGCUAGCGAAAGAGAUUUUGUAGGUUGUCAGUAAUCAUACUGAAAACUGACCUUUAUGAGAAUUUAAGUUUUCAAAUAUAUGUGGAUGUAGCUUUAUCUCCUUCUUAUAAGGUCAUCCUCAUUAGUACUCUUUAUGUAUAAAGACAUGGCAUUAUAUAACAACCCCUUGAAUACUAAUGAAGAGGACUUUAUUGAGUUCAAAGGUCCAAGCACAUAAUGUGUGUGGUCACUAAAACACUAUGUAUGUCACUAUCACGUCACAGCUUGUUUAUACGGGAGACAGAAUGGUAAACAACAAUAAGAAUUUGCAAUGCUUUUACUCUGUAGCUGAAUUGACAGCUCUGAUAUGUAUGGUUUUCAAAUAUUUCAUAUUCCAGUGUUUAUCUAACAAUAUAUAUGGUAUUUGGUGCCAAUUAUUGCUUUUUUGAGUUUUAAAAAACACAAUUUUUCAGUUUACUUUUUGUUGUUGGUGUUUUGUCUCCCUUCAACGACCAUCAUUCUUAGUGUUAAAACUAAAGAUUGUUGUCAUGUGAUGUCAAAAUGAAAUAGAGUAUAUUUGACCAAAGGUUUAUGAAUCAUUCAUAAGUUUUUGUUUAGCAUGUCUCCACCAAGUUAUGGAUACAAGUUUCAAUGAUUUCUUCAACACAAUACUUUGCUUGGAAACUAUUGCUUAUCGUAAGGGAGGUGCUGCAGUGUAUGGGUAAACUUACUUGUUUGUCAUGUGUGCUGACUGUCCAGGCCUUGACAACAUCACUAUGACAACAUGAUGUUUGGCUGAAGAUGCUGACAACCUGUUGAAAAAGUCAAAGAUAUUGAUUUCAGUUUACAAGUCAUUCCCUAGAGUAUUAUUUCUUUGUUUAAUGGUUCACAUAAGAAGACACAGUAAUUAGAAUACAACCCAAACAAAGAAUCUUAUUCUCAAGAGAAGGAUAUGUGGUCUGGAAUAAGAAAACAUUAAGCCAAAUAAGGUGGAGAGGUCUAUUAUGAACCAUUUUGUUUUCAAUUUUGUCUUAAAAAAGUACUUUUACAGCAUAUCAAGCAUCCCAUGCUGUAGUUACAAUAGAAAAACUAAUUUGGAAUGGAUGUAUUUCUAUAUUCUAUAACAUAGCUAAUAGUUUAACUUACUUGUCUGUCAUACAUCUGCUGGCAAUAGCUUGAUGCAAUGUAAUAUCAUCACAAUCUAAUGAUGACACAUACCAAUACUUGUCAUCAAGCUGUUGAAAAAGUGAAAGAGAUCUGUUUAGAAACCUGAAUCAAUCUGUUUAGGAUAAUUGUAUUACUAGCAGUUACUAGUUGUGACUUCAUUCUAGAAAUUUUCUAUACUGGAUAAUCCAUGUCUAUCCUUUAGUUGUCAGUAUACUGGUCAGCAGUAGACCAUGUUGUACAGUGGGAACCCUGUGGUUGUCUGACAUCUACCAUGUUGGUUUUGAGAUACAAAAGCCCAUAGAGUGCCACAACAAAGCAUUGUAUAACUAACUUAUGUAUGAAAUUGUUCUGCAGAGUAAUAUACAUACCUGAUGAUUAGUAAUAAACUGCUGCUUGGGAUAUGAACAACAUUUUUGUGGUAACAAGAGUCAAGAUGCAGUAUGGUAAUGAGGUUCAGAUCACUGGACAGCCUUAUGGAGUGUUUCACGCAUUGACACACGUCGAACCGCGAAGGGAACAAGAUUGAAAUGAACACAAGUUACACCAAGAGCCUGGAUACUAGCACUUUACACAGGAAGCCCGCCAAAAAAUUGAUAUUUAGGCGAAAAUUAGACGGUUUUUGAGCAAUUUGUUUUGCCAAAAACAUGAAACAUCACUAGAAAAACUCUUCCUAGCACUCCAUGGAUGAUAAAAACUCGAAAAAAGGCUUGUUUUAGGGGGGAAAUCAAUAUUAUGUUAAUUAGUCACGUGACCUCUAAUUUUGUGUUUUUGGGUGUGAAUUUUCAAUUUUUCUGUGACAAACAUUUUUUCGGGGGUUUGAAGUAAUUUUCUUUGAUUCGAAUUUAUUAGAUCACGCUGUUGAUAAUAAAAGAACAUCGAACCUUUA